rnacentral:rRNA from 1 species
CUGAAACCGUGUACGUACAAGCAGUGGGAGCACCCUUUGGGUGUGACUGCGUACCUUUUGUAUAAUGGGUCAGCGACUUAUAUUCUGUAGCAAGGUUAACCGAAUAGGGGAGCCGGAGGGAAACCGAGUCUUAACCGGGCGUUAAGUUGCAGGGUAUAGACCCGAAACCCGGUGAUCUAGCCAUGGGCAGGUUGAAGGUUGGGUAACACUAACUGGAGGACCGAACCGACUAAUGUUGAAAAAUUAGCGGAUGACCUGUGGCUGGGGGUGAAAGGCCAAUCAAACCGGGAGAUAGCUGGUUCUCCCCGAAAGCUAUUUAGGUAGCGCCUCGUGAAUUCAUCUCCGGGGGUAGAGCACUGUUUCGGCUAGGGGGCCAUCCCGGCUUACCAACCCGAUGCAAACUGCGAAUACCGGAGAAUGUUAUCACGGGAGACACACGGCGGGUGCUAACGUCCGUCGUGAAGAGGGAAACAACCCAGACCGCCAGCUAAGGUCCCAAAGUCAUGGUUAAGUGGGAAACGAUGUGGGAAGGCCCAGACAGCCAGGAUGUUGGCUUAGAAGCAGCCAUCAUUUAAAGAAAGCGUAAUAGCUCACUGGUCGAGUCGGCCUGCGCGGAAGAUGUAACGGGGCUAAACCAUGCACCGAAGCUGCGGCAGCGACACUGUGUGUUGUUGGGUAGGGGAGCGUUCUGUAAGCCUGUGAAGGUGUGUCGUGAGGCAUGCUGGAGGUAUCAGAAGUGCGAAUGCUGACAUAAGUAACGAUAAAGCGGGUGAAAAGCCCGCUCGCCGGAAGACCAAGGGUUCCUGUCCAACGUUAAUCGGGGCAGGGUGAGUCGACCCCUAAGGCGAGGCCGAAAGGCGUAGUCGAUGGGAAACGGGUUAAUAUUCCCGUACUUGGUGUUACUGCGAAGGGGGGACGGAGAAGGCUAUGUUGGCCGGG